AUUGAACGCUGGCGGCAUGCCUUACACUUGCAAGUCGAACGGCAGCACGGAGCUUGCUCUGGUGGCGAGUGGCGAACGGGUGAGUAAUAUAUCGGAACGUACCCUAGAGUGGGGGAUAACGUAGCGAAAGUUACGCUAAUACCGCAUACGAUCUAAGGAUGAAAGUGGGGGAUCGCAAGACCUCAUGCUCGUGGAGCGGCCGAUAUCUGAUUAGCUAGUUGGUAGGGUAAAAGCCUACCAAGGCAUCGAUCAGUAGCUGGUCUGAGAGGACGACCAGCCACACUGGAACUGAGACACGGUCCAGACUCCUACGGGAGGCAGCAGUGGGGAAUUUUGGACAAUGGGCGAAAGCCUGAUCCAGCAAUGCCGCGUGAGUGAAGGAGGCCUUCGGGUUGUAAAGCUCUUUUGUCAGGGAAGAAACGGUGAGAGCUAAUAUCUCUUGCUAAUGACGGUACCUGAAGAAUAAGCACCGGCUAACUACGUGCCAGCAGCCGCGGUAAUACGUAGGGUGCAAGCGUUAAUCGGAAUUACUGGGCGUAAAGCGUGCGCAGGCGGUUUUGUAAGUCUGAUGUGAAAUCCCCGGGCUCAACCUGGGAAUUGCAUUGGAGACUGCAAGGCUAGAAUCUGGCAGAGGGGGGUAGAAUUCCCCGUGUAGCAGUGAAAUGCGUAGAUAUGGGGAGGAACACCGAGGGCGAAGGCAGCCCCCUGGGUCAAGAUUGACGCUCAUGCACGAAAGCGUGGGGAGCAAACAGGAUUAGAUACCCUGGUAGUCCACGCCCUAAACGAUGUCUACUAGUUGUCGGGUCUUAAUUGACUUGGUAACGCAGCUAACGCGUGAAGUAGACCGCCUGGGGAGUACGGUCGCAAGAUUAAAACUCAAAGGAAUUGACGGGGACCCGCACAAGCGGUGGAUGAUGUGGAUUAAUUCGAUGCAACGCGAAAAACCUUACCUACCCUUGACAUGGCUGGAAUCCUUGAGAGAUCAGGGAGUGCUCGAAAGAGAACCAGUACACAGGUGCUGCAUGGCUGUCGUCAGCUCGUGUCGUGAGAUGUUGGGUUAAGUCCCGCAACGAGCGCAACCCUUGUCAUUAGUUGCUACGAAAGGGCACUCUAAUGAGACUGCCGGUGACAAACCGGAGGAAGGUGGGGAUGACGUCAAGUCCUCAUGGCCCUUAUGGGUAGGGCUUCACACGUCAUACAAUGGUACAUACAGAGCGCCGCCAACCCGCGAGGGGGAGCUAAUCGCAGAAAGUGUAUCGUAGUCCGGAUUGUAGUCUGCAACUCGACUGCAUGAAGUUGGAAUCGCUAGUAAUCGCGGAUCAGCAUGUCGCGGUGAAUACGUUAAAGGGUCU
rnacentral:rRNA from 1 species